rnacentral:rRNA from 1 species
AACGUAGGAGACAAACGUUAUCCGGAGUUACUGGGCGUAAAGGGCGCGUAGGCGGCGCAACAAGUCACUUGUGAAAUCUCCGGGCUUAACCCGGAGCGGCCAAGUGAUACUGUCGUGCUAGAGUGCGGAAGGGGCUACUGGAAUUCUCGGUGUAGCGGUGAAAUGCGUAGAUAUCUGGAGGAACACCGGUGGCGAAGGCGGCGUCCUGGACCAAUACUGACACUGAAACGCGAAAGCCAGGGGAGCAAACGGG